ensembl:lncRNA
GGGGGGGGGGAAGCUAGGUUGACUGACAAGAAGCCCUCAAUGGCGCAGCAAGUUAAACUGCUAAGCUGCUGAACUUGCUGACCAAAAGGUUGGCAGUUUGAAUACGGGGAGCGGGGUGAGCUCCUGCUGUUAGCCCCAGCUUCUGCCAACCUAGCAGUUCGAAAACAUGCAAAUGUGAGUAGAUCAACAGGCACCGCUCUGGUGGCAAGGUAACGGCACUCCAUGCAGUCAUGCCAGCCACAUGACCUAGGAGGUGUCUAUGGACAAUGCCGACUCUUCAGCAUAGAAAUGGAGAAGAGCAGCAACGACUGGACUUAAUGUCAGGGGAAAAUCUUUACCUUUACCUUUUGCUUAACUGACAUGAAUGCUUUCAUUUGGAAUUGGGGCAGAACAAAAACUUGACCCCAGUGGUCAACUCUGCAUGGCGUGAAUUGUGACUGUCCGUUAUUGCUGUUGCAAAAACCGGAAGUGCUAUUGUGUACCAUUUUGCAGCAUCUGGUAAACAAAACAGACUAUCUUUGGAGAAGGCAGCCAGGAAUACUUUUGAUGUUUGUUUGAGGGAGGGCUGAAGCAAAAGUGUUGAUUUUUUGUGUUUGUAAUCACAUGAGAGCUUAUUGUAAGACCAGAGGUUGCCUGAUAUCAAACCGAUCUGAUUGCUGCAAUUUGUAAAAAGAUAGGAAAAGAAAACCUUUCCCCAUGAUCCAUUUCCAGGUCUGUUGCAAAGGCUAUUGAGAGUAUUGUCUUUUCUUGCUGAUUAUGUGUUAUGCACCAGCCCGCACUCAGUGCUGGGAGGAAAGCAGAAAAACAAGCAAACAAAUAGAAGUGAUUGCUGUGAUUUCCUUCCCGCAUCAUUUAUAGUAGGCAUGGGCAAACUUUGGCCCUCCAGGUAUUUUGGACUUUAACUCCUACAAUUCCUAACAGCCUCAGGCCCCUUCCUUUCCCCGCUCAGCCGCUUAAGCAGGCAGGAAGCAGCCUGGCUAUGAAGCUACAAAGCUAUUUAAUGCUAAUCGAGCUGACCAAUUGCAACAUUCACACUUGCCUCAAAAGGAUGAGAGUGCUUUCUCCCACCCUGGACAUUCCACAGAUAUAUAAACCUCACUUGCCUCGUUUCCAACAGAUCUCACAACCUCUGAUGUCUGUCAUAGAUGUGGGUGAAAUGUCAGGAGAGAAUGCUUCUGGAACAUGGAAAAAAAAAGCACCUCCUCCAGAUGAGCAUCGCCUCCAGAUACUGGAAAUGAAAGGAGAAGCUUUGCCCUUGUUUGUGUGUCUCAUGUGCAUUGAAUGUUUGCCUAUGUAUGUAAAUGCUGUAAUCCGCUCUGAGUCCGCUAGGGGAAAAGGGUGGAAUAUAAAGUGUAUUAUUAUUAUUAUUAUUAUUGGCAUCAAACUGUAUUAAUUCUACAGUGUAGAGACACUCUGUGUCAAAGCAGCUAAAACUAGUUAACAAUGUGUGGGUAGGCCACCUUUACCCAAGUCGCUAUUCUCUGGCUUCUCCCCAAAUCCAUAAAUCGCCUGGAAACAUGUAGAGCCUGCAUGUGUCCUGAAUUUUUGAUACUGCUUAAGCGGCUGAGGGGGAAAAGGAAGGGGCCUGAGGCUGUUAGGAAUGGUGGGAGUUGAAGUCCAAAACACCUGGAGAACCCAAGUUUGCCCAUGCCUGGUAUAAGGUGCAUAGGAAACACAAUUAUAUUACAGGUUUAGACUUAUGUUCCAUCAAAUAUCUCAUUAUGUCUAGGCAAAUAUUCCGAAACAAAUAAAUAAAUAAAUACAAAAUCAAAAGCCUUUUUGGCCCAAAACAUUUUGAAUAAGGUAUUUUCAACAUGGAUGCUUAUAAAACCAGUUCAUGAUCUUUUUCUUCCCCAGUCCUUCAAGCUCCUUGCUUUCACUGAGCUCCAACACACAUUUCCCUACAACUACAAACUAACUGAAAUAAUCAUAUGUUUGUCCUCUGCUAGUACCUAACCAUGCCUCCAUUUCCUAUCCUUUUUCAGUUGCUUCCCUAUAUUAAGGAAUAUGGCUAAGUUCCUGUGGGAUCACUACUGUGUGUGUGUUAAGAGAAAUAGGCUCACCCUAGUUGACUACAAUAUCCACAGGCUUAGUAAUUGGAGUAUUUAAGGUCAACAAGUUUUUGGGCUACUUCCAAACGGGUAUAGCUGGGAAGAGUUUGUAUGUUUUUGGGCUUACUGAAUGUCUGCCUUUGAGCUUACUCGGUGUAAGCUCCUGGCUUGCAGCCUAUUUGAUGCUGGCAAG